GAUGAUGAAGAGUAUGAAGAAAAAUUGAAGAAAGAGAAAUUGGCAUUCUUUUUCUUGGCAACAUAUGGAGAUGGUGAACCAACUGAUAAUGCUGCCAGAUUCUAUAAAUGGUUUGAAGAGGGGAAAGAGAGGGGUGACUGCUUUAAGAAUCUUCAGUAUGGAGUAUUUGGGCUUGGCAACAGACAAUACGAGCAUUUUAACAAGAUUGCUAAAGUUGUCGAUGAGCUUCUGGCUGAGCAAGGUGGGCAGAGGCUUGUUCCAGUGGGUCUUGGAGAUGAUGAUCAAU
rnacentral:misc_RNA from 1 species